rnacentral:misc_RNA from 1 species
AAGUCGUAACAAGGUUUCCGUAGGUGAACCUGCGGAAGGAUCAUUACCAAAUCCAAAUACCCAAACCCCAUGUGAAUUAUUGUAUAGUCUGUCUUUGGGAGAAAAAGAAGGAGAAAUCUGGACUUUUCUCCCAAUAGAGUCCGGCAUAACUUUUUGUUAUGUCCAGAUUCGAAACCCUUUAAACCACUUGAUUUUUCUGUUGGAAUUACUUUUAUUAAUUUUAAAUAAAAGACAACUUUUAACGGUGGAUCUCUUGGCUCGU